rnacentral:rRNA from 1 species
AAUGAACGUUGGCGGCGUGGAUUAGGCAUGCAAGUCGAGCGAGAACCCCGCAAGGGGGGACAGCGGCAAACGGGGUAGUAACGGGUAGGCGACGUACCCUCGGGAUGGGGAUAGCCACGGGAAACUGUGGGUAAUACCCAAUAAUCACCUUGGUUAUCAGAAUUGAGGUGCAAAGGUGUGAUUCCACCUGAGGAGCGGCCUGCUUCGUAUUAGCUAGUUGUUGAGGUAACGGCUCACCAAGGCGACGAUGCGUAGGGGGUGUGAGAGCAUGACCCCCACCACUGGGACUGAGAUACUGCCCAGACACCUACGGGUGGCUG